rnacentral:rRNA from 1 species
UACAGGGGGGGGCAAGCGUUUGUUCGGAAUUACUGGGCGUAAAGGGCGCGUAGGCGGCGUUUUUAAGUCGGGGGUGAAAGCCUGUGGCUCAACCACAGAAUGGCCUUCGAUACUGGGACGCUUGAGUAUGGUAGAGGUUGGUGGAACUGCGAGUGUAGAGGUGAAAUUCGUAGAUAUUCGCAAGAACACCGGUGGCGAAGGCGGCCAACUGGACCAUUACUGACGCUGAGGCGCGAAAGCGUGGGGAGCAAACAGG